rnacentral:rRNA from 1 species
UACGUAGGGUGCAAGCGUUAAUCGGAAUUACUGGGCGUAAAGCGUGCGCAGGCGGCUUUGCAAGUCAGAUGUGAAAUCCCCGGGCUUAACCUGGGAACUGCAUUUGUGACUGCAUGGCUAGAGUGCGGCAGAGGGGGAUGGAAUUCCGCGUGUAGCAGUGAAAUGCGUAGAUAUGCGGAGGAACACCGAUGGCGAAGGCAAUCCCCUGGGCCUGCACUGACGCUCAUGCACGAAAGCGUGGGGAGCAAACAGG